rnacentral:rRNA from 1 species
GGGGAUAACAGUCAGAAAUGACUGCUAAUACCGCAUAAGACCACAGCACCGCAUGGUGCAGGGGUAAAAACUCCGGUGGUACAGGAUGGACCCGCGUCUGAUUAGCUGGUUGGUGAGGUAACGGCUCACCAAGGCGACGAUCAGUAGCCGGCUUGAGAGAGUGAACGGCCACAUUGGGACUGAGACACGGCCCAAACUCCUACGGGAGGCAGCAGUGGGGAAUAUUGCACAAUGGGGGAAACCCUGAUGCAGCGACGCCGCGUGAGUGAAGAAGUAUCUCGGUAUGUAAAGCUCUAUCAGCAGGGAAGAAAAUGACGGUACCUGACUAAGAAGCCCCGGCUAACUACGUGCCAGCAGCCGCGGUAAUACGUAGGGGGCAAGCGUUAUCCGGAAUUACUGGGUGUAAAGGGUGCGUAGGUGGUAUGGCAAGUCAGAAGUGAAAACCCAGGGCUUAACUCUGGGACUGCUUUUGAAACUGUCAGACUGGAGUGCAGGAGAGGUAAGCGGAAUUCC